GAAAGAAUUUCUGCAAAAGAAAAUGGGCCAUCCAGUGUCUCUGAUCAGGAUGUUACCAUGGCUGAUGCCUGUACAAGUUCAAUCAAGGCCUCGCCAAGUGCAAGGGGAUCAAGUUUUAUUGAGGGGAUCUCUAAAUCUUCAUAUGUAAAGCAAGCAUCAGAUCUUAAAGGCUCUUCUGUAAAGGUUUUGAAUUGCCAUGAUUCUGUCAUUUACAUCUUGGCACCCUUGAGAUAUGCCACC
rnacentral:misc_RNA from 1 species